AUUGAACGCUGGCGGCAGGCCUAACACAUGCAAGUCGAACGGUAACAGGAAACAGCUUGCUGUUUCGCUGACGAGUGGCGGACGGGUGAGUAAUGUCUGGGAAACUGCCUGAUGGAGGGGGAUAACUACUGGAAACGGUAGCUAAUACCGCAUAACGUCGCAAGACCAAAGAGGGGGACCUUCGGGCCUCUUGCCAUCGGAUGUGCCCAGAUGGGAUUAGCUAGUAGGUGGGGUAACGGCUCACCUAGGCGACGAUCCCUAGCUGGUCUGAGAGGAUUGCCAGACACACUGGAACUGAGACACGGUCCAGACUCCUACGGGAGGCAGCAGUGGGGAAUAUUGCACAAUGGGCGCAAGCCUGAUGCAGCCAUGCCGCGUGUAUGAAGAAGGCCUUCGGGUUGUAAAGUACUUUCAGCGGGGAGGAAGGGAGUAAAGUCAAUACCUCUGCUCAUUGACGUUACCCGCAGAAGAAGCACCGGCUAACUCCGUGCCAGCCGCCGCGGUAA
rnacentral:rRNA from 1 species